rnacentral:rRNA from 1 species
AUGCUCACGGAAUCGAGGAUGAGCUGCGCCGCCCCAAAAGCCCCCGCCGGAGAGGAGAAGAAGACGUCAUGGCCAGAGGUAGUGGGAAAGUCCAUCGAGGAGGCCAAGGAGAUCAUCCUUAAGGACAUGCCUGAUGCCAAUAUCGAUGUCCUUCCUGCUGGCUCGGCGAUGACCCUCGACUUCAGGACCAACCGUGUCCGCAUCAUCAUCGACACUGUCGUGACCACCCCUUCCAUUGGUUAG